rnacentral:lncRNA from 1 species
ACUGAGCGACAUGUAAUUUUACUAUGUCUCGAUUCAUCCACCAUGGGGGUACCAUGUAAUUCAUCAUUUUUCAAAGACAGUCAAAGGAAGAUACAGUUGAAAAUGUAUACACAGCAACAGAAGAAAGGCAAUCUUAGGCCAGGCACUGUGGCUCACACCUGUAAUCCCAGCACUUUGGGAGGCUGAGACGGGCAGAUCAGUCGAGGUCAGGAGUUCGCAGCCAGACUGGCCAACAUAGUGAAACUCUGUCUCUACUAAAAAUACAAAAAUUACCCAGGCGUGGUGGCGGUGCCUGUAAUCCCAGUUACUUGGGAGGCUGAGGCAUGAGGAUCACUUGAACCCAGGAGGCGGAGGUUGCAAUGAGCCAAGAUUGCACCACUGCACUCCAGCCUGGGUGACAGAGUCUUUCUAAGAAAAAAAAAAAAAAAAAAAAGGAAAGGCAAUCUUGAUCUGAAUUAGAAUACUGGCUAUUGUUUGUUAGGAAUAAACUUAUUUUCAUAUAAACAAAACUAUAUCUGUGUUUGAGAAAUUCUCAGUGCUUUAUAUCAACAAAUUAAAUGUUUGUGUUAAAAUGAUAUAUGUGACAAGGCUACGUGUAACACUUUCAUGUGAUAGAAAAAUGAGUCAUGAAAUUUUGGAGUGGAAGGGACCUUAAAUAUCUUGUCCAAUCUCUUCAUGUUACAAAUAAGGAAAUCAAGCCAGAGGAAGGUGAUGUGAUUUGCCUGCUGCAGGUUGAUAGGAAAACUAGAAUGAGGACUCAGUUAUCUUGUAACUUCUGGCUCAGGACUCUUACUAUUACAUACAAAAAGCCAUUGUUCUUCUCCUUCCAAAGAAGGCUUCUCAGCCUUUGCACUCUUGAUGUCUUGGGCCUAAUAAUCCUUUAUUUUGUGUGGCCAUCCCUUGCACUGGAGGAUGUUUAGCAACAUCCCUGGCCUCUACCCACUAGAAGCCAGGAGCACUUCUCUGCAGCUGAAACAAGCAAGUGUCUCUGGACAGUGCCAAAGGGUCCCUGGAAGGCAAACUCACUCCCCACGGAGAAUCACUGCACUAGAGGAUUAAGUAUCUAGUAUCCCUUUUCCACAUCAAUUUAAUUCUCAUUUUCAAGUUAAAAGUGAGUGACUAAGACAAAUCAUUGAAAGGCCGUAAGAGAAAAAAAAUGAAGAUACCUUCUAUUCAAAUCAUUUUAUAGGAAUCAUCAAUUUAAGAGCCACCUGGGAAGAUGAUUCCUCUCUCUAUAAAGGUAAACUCAGCUAAGGGCAUGGUCACAACAUUUGCUACUUGCAUACAUUUUAUCUUUUACUUUAGCUUCGGGACCAAUUUUUAAGACUUUCAAAAGAGAGACCAGAAAUUUUUUUACAGCCCCAUCUACAAAAAAUAAACAAAGCCAUAUAGUAAUUAAUCAGAUUACUUGAAGCCCAAAACUACUAAAGUAAACUCAUUAAGCAUUAAGCAUUUAUUUGUCUGUUGCUACUUUUUUUUUUUGAGACGGAGUCUUGCUCUGUCACCCAGGCAGGAGUGUAGUGGCACUAUCUUGGCUCACUGCAACCUCUGCCUCCCAGGUUCAAGCAAUUCUCCUGCCUCAGUCUCCCGAGUAGCUGGGAUUCCAGGCACAUGCCACCAUGCCUGGCUAAUUUUUGUAUUUUUAGUAGAGACGGGGUUUCAUCAUAUCAGUCAGGCUGUUCUCAAAAUCCUGACCUCGUGAUCCACCCGCCUCGGCCUCCCAAUGUGCUGGUAUUACAAGCAUGAGCCACCGUGCCCAGCCUGUUGCUACUUUUUUAAAACCUAAAAGCACAAAGGGGCAUGGCUUAUGUACCUCUAUUUGGGCACAUAAACUAAAUCAGUUCUAAAUGGAACUGAUUUAGAUCAUAAGGCUACUGAUUUUGUCUAAUUUGACGGAAUACCUAAUAUACUAGAACAACUAGAAAAUGCUUUAUCACCAUCAUUAGAAAUAAGACUAAUAUUGACCAUCAAUUCCCUCAUCACUUUAUCACACCUGGCAAAUGUGUAUGUUAACAGUUUAAUCUGACCUCAUGCUGGCCUGAGAGAAGCUCUGUAGGGAAAAAUCUUGAGGAACUGUCAGGCCAUCAGUAAACACAUCACAGUAACUGUGUGCAGCAUAUUUAUAGCUUCAGAACAAGACAGGGCUUUUUCAUCAUACAUUUCCAGGUCUGCUGCGACUCUGAUUCAAAGCUAACAAACGUUUCAGCAUAUGCUAACAUUUGAAUUAUCAGGCCUGCCCCACCUAGACUAGAUUACAGGGGACCUACAUGAUGUAACCCACCCACACAUUUCCUUCCCGCAAAAGUUUUGGGUUUUUUUUUUCCUUUCUUCUAUUUCCCUUUCAAAAGUAAAAGUUCCUAGAAAAAGCAAAAUAGGACUAUAAUUCAUAUUAAUUUGCUAGCGAUAUUACAGGCUUUUUACGGAAUUUUUAGUAGGUGAACCGAGUUUUUUUUUUUUUUUUAAUGAGACAGAGUUUCACUCUUGUCACCUAGGCUGGAGUACAGUGGCGUGAUCUUGGCUCACUGCAACCUCUGCCUCCUGGGUUCAAGUGAUUCUCCUGCCUCAGCCUCCCGAGUAGCUGAGAUAACAGGCACCGGGCACCACACCCAGCUAAUUUUUGUAGUUUUAGUAGAGACGGGGUUUCACCAUGUUGGCCAGGCUGCUCUAGAACUCCUGACUUCAGGUGAUCCACCCGCCUCGGCCUCCCAAAGGGCUGGGAUUACAGGCAUGAGCCACUGCGCCUGGCCUGAGCUGAGAAGGAAUGGAGAAAAAUGGCCUCUGAAGGGCCCCAAGUUUCCCUAAAAGUAAAAUCUGCUCAAAUUUAGGCUGCACCUUGAUUACUUGGAACUGCCUGUUGUUGUCUUGCCUCAUUUAAACAUGAGGAAACUGCCCCAAGUGACACAUCGUAACCCCUAUUUCUUCAUAUCUGCUAUCUUCUACAGACAGUCUUGCAUUUGCAAAGAUGAGCUAUUACGUAAUUUCAUACUGCAGGCUUUUACUCACUUAAUAUCCUCCCCAUAGCAGAUGGUGGUGUCUUCAGUCAGAAGUUCACAAGCAAAUCCUAUAUUUUCAGCAGUUUCUACAAUAGAAUAAAAUUAAGUCAAAUGUCAUUCCUGCUGUUUUUAUUUUAUUUUAUUUUGUUUUUUGAGACAGCAUCUCACUCCCACUGCCUAGGCUGGAGUGCAGUGGCACAAUCUCUGCUCACUACAGCCUCAACCUCCAGGAUUCAAGUGAUCUGCCCAUCUCAGCACCACCCGCAGCCCCCAAGUAGCUGGGACUACGCAACUCGCUGCCAAGCCACCAAACAAUUUGUGUUUUUUCUAGAGAUGGGGUUUUGUCAUGUUUGCCAGGCUCAUUCUUACUGUUGAACUGAAUAAUUGAUUUUACCUAGUAAUGAUAUUUUUUAGUUCAUGAACAUAACCAGAUUCACACAAACACACUAUUUUUCUAUAGCAAUCUGUAGGAAUCACAUGCAGAAGAAAAAUCCUUUUCUCCAUAAUAAAACAAGUGAAAGUCAAAGUCUAAUUUGAAAUGUUUUCAAUAAUAAAAUGUGCUAUAUUAUCAAACAUAUAAACUGGUUAUUUAGUAAACCAAUGUUCAUUAAAUUACUAAACACUCUCAGUUCCUGGUUCAAUUACUCUGUUAUUGGCGGGGGGCGGGGGCAGAGGGAAGCAUAAUAAUUUCCACCAACCCUUACGUGAAGAUUUUUUUUCCUUUUAAAUUACCACCCAAUUUGGCAUUUAUUUAAGGUCAGGGCUGUGCUUCCCAUAACUUUGCAGAGUGUGUAACCCGUUGACGAUUUCAGCGCAAGAGACAUUAUUUGAUUUCUUGUGGAAGGCUUACAAAGUAAAGUAUCAAUACCAAACAAGUGCUUGUUGAGUUCUAAAGUUAAAAAAUUAAAAUCGUUCUUUCCUUAGGUAUACAAUUUUAUUGCCAAGCAAUAAAAUUGGCAAGAAAACCAAAGUUAUUGUUCAGUACUUUGUAUUGUUCUACUCUGUGCCCACCAAAUGUCAAAGCACUGGAAGGACAGAGGGACAAGAGGGAUGGCCCUUUCAGGACGGGAACCCACGUCUGGCUGGAGAGAUAAGACCAAUUAUAAUCAGCAAGACAUGGCCAGGAGCUAAAUUAUAAGGAAGAAACUGCUACUGAGGGGGAUCAGGAAAGGAUGCAGAAGAAUGUGCUGGAAAAACAGAGGAGGGUUUCUCAGAAAAAGCAUCUUCCGUCCAAAGAAACAGUGUUUGUACAGGAUGAAAAGUCUGAGGAGGUCAUCUUGGGCAAAGGAAACGGCAGCUAUAAAUAUUUGUGAAUUAACAGAUAUGCUUCCCUGCACAAUGAAUUACCCUUUUUGUCUCCAGUAAGCACCCAGAUCUUAAUGUCAGCUUUUGCAAGUUUUGAAAUGGUUUCUGGAACUCCAUCCUGUAGCUUGUCUUCAAUAGCUGUAGCUCCCAGGAGCUAGAAUGUAUAUUAAAAAAAAAAAAAAAAGGAAUUAGCAAACAAACCAAAAGUUUUCUGUAAUUACAGGUUGCCAACCUGUAAAAAGAAGGGCUAAUUAUACAUCCUGGUUGCUGCUCUCCUGGGGCCAAUGGCCAGUGUUAACAGGGAAGGCUGCCAUGUUUCACAAUUACUGCAAACCAACACACCUAAAAACUUUUUCCCUAAAGGAUGAACUAUUUAAUUUACCAAGACAAAAAUGCAAGUACAAAAUCAAGGAUGUUAAAAAUACACUUUUCUUGUGUAUUUGUGGCUUUAUACUGACAUAAACCGUAAACCAGUUGCAAUACUAGCUAUUUGUUGAAUAUUUUCCACUUAUCUAAACCCUACAAAAACUAUGUAUUAAAUUUGGAAAACUUUUAGAAACAAUAUAUUUUUCUUAUUUCAAGAUUUUGCAGAAUAUGAAUUGUUUCGGUAAUUCCCCCAAUGUAAUAAGUAUUAGAUGCAGGUUUGUUAUUGUUUAAAAAUUAUAAUAAAUUUUAAUAAGUGAUAUACAAAUUAUGGAAUUAAAUUAGAACUUCUCC